rnacentral:ncRNA from 1 species
AAACGUUGAAGCAACGACUGUUCCAAGAUGCAGCCUUUGUGGAGUUUUAUAAGGGUUUGACAUAUACCGCAACUUGGAUAGAUUUAUUAAUCGAAAGAAAAUGUCUAUU